AGAAAUAGAGAAAUGCAGACUCUCAGCCUUGGAUUAAGCCUCGCCUGAAGCUGAUAUCUCAGGGAUUUUCCAGUAACCUCCUUCUUCUGCUUGAGCCAGUUUUGAGUUGGAUUUAUUUCCCUUUAAACAUCAAAGAGUCUUGCCCAGUGCAGAGGGAAUUCUUAUAAGGGAUUGUGAUUUGCACUCAAGUGCAAAUGGCUGAUGGCAAAGACCUCCCUGAUACCAGGUUUUGGUAGAAGAGAAGGAGGAAACUUGGGAGAUCAAAAUCUUCAUUGGACAGGUGGAGUAACAACCCCAAGAGGCUGCGUGGGCCCUGGCUCACACGAUGGCGAGCGACAGAGC
rnacentral:lncRNA from 1 species